CUGGCAUUAACCAGGAUUUCAACCUGCAGUCUCAGCAGAUACUGAGAGCUGAACGGAACAAAAGUCCGAACUAACUUUCCACCCUUUCAAAUCCUCAUUUUUAAGCACUCUAAUUAAUAUCUAACAUCAGUUCAAAAGACUUAUUAUUGUCUUCUAAAAAGUAAUGUUAACUCACAGGAUAAGGAUAAGGAUAAGGAUAAAUAUUAUGCAAUAUAUUCCAUUAAUUUUCUGUUGUGGUUUUGUAACUCAGCCAGCCACCUGAUGCACAGAUUAUUGGUCCCAUCAUAUGGAAUGAAUACUAUGCAAAUAUCCCUCUUCACUCUGCUCUGGGCUGCAUUAUAAUGAUCAUGCCAUGCCAGUCUGGGCAUGAGUAAUUUGCUCACUUUUCUUUUUAUCAGUUUGGAAUCAGGAUAAUGAUAUUAAUGCUAAGGAUAAGAUUACAUUAGAUAAGAAGUCAUGCUGCCAUGCUGCCAGCAGUGUGGGUUUUACUCAGGAACUCGUGCUACCUAAUGCUUUGAGCAGGAGGUACAGCAAGCACUGGCACACAUCAGACACCCAUAUUGAGUCCAAAAUGCCGAACAGGUGUCAGAAGCCACAAUGUCAGGUAAAAGCUUCCAGGGACUGAAGGAACAAGCUGAAGGUGCAGCAAAAGAUGCUGCCAACACAUUGGGACAAGCCACUCAGGAUGCAGUCAACCAGAUUACAGAUGCAAGCCAGAAAGCUUUUGACAAGGCUUCCAAGACAGCACAAGAUGGAGUAGAAAAGGUGGCUGGACAGGCUGCAGAAGCAAUGUCUGGCUUCGGGAAAAAAUGUGGAUUUAAAAAAUGAUGCUAAUUCAAGUCAACAGUACUGCUUGUAUAAAUCUCUUUGGUCUGCUAUUAGCUACUUCUUUGUGUAGAAAAAUGAAAACUGUUUGAUAUCUGGAUAAUUUUGUUCUCUUCAAAUACAAAUUUUUAAGGCAGAAGGUCCCCCUCAUCCUUUACAUAGAAAAAUUACAUAUUUUGGCACCAUUGCUCACAAUCGUCAACAUGGCUCAAAAGGCUUCAGCAGUGCUGUUCCCCUGCUCUUACAACAGCUCAGUGAUUAUUGCCACAUUUGCUGAGUGUAUUUACAAAGCCAGUGAAACUGUUCAUAAUUAGGACACCAGAAUAGUCAUGUGAUGAAACUGAGUCUUCUUCCAAUAAUCAAAACUUAAGCUGCGGUUAUAUGUCUUGUCAGUUGUUUGUUUGUUCCCAUCCUCUGCAUUUUUAGAUAAAGAUAAAUAAAGGUGUGUAAGAUUUCCA
rnacentral:lncRNA from 1 species